rnacentral:rRNA from 1 species
AUGGCGAAGGUUUCAGGCCAACCGGAGUUAUGGAUCUCCAUAUAUAUACGAAACGGUGAAACAGAGCCAGAACAGAACGCAGAAACAGAGAGAGACAGAGAGACAGAUCCAAUCUCGGAGGGGCUCUCGCCCCUCCCAUGCCAUGGAGUCCAAGGACCAGAGGGGAAACCCUUCUCCCAUCUAGGGAGGAGGUCAAGGAAGAAGAAGACGAAGGGGCCCCCUCUCCCCUUCUCUUCCGGUGGCGCCGGAACACUGUUGUGGCCAUCAUCAUCAUCACCGCGAUCUACACCAACACCUCUGCCAUCUUCACCAACAUCUCCAUCACCUUCCCCCCUCUAUCUACAGCGGUCCACUCUCCCGCAACCCGCUGUACCCUCUACUCGAACAUGGUGCUUUAUGCUUCAUAUUAUUAUCCAAUGA